GUAUGUGAGGGCCAUCUGGAGUCACUCCAUUGAUUGAGCUGAUCUGACUGACUAGGCAGAUGCCCCCUCCUCCCUCACUACUCCAGUGUGCGUCCCUCCUCCUUCUGUCAAGGGUAUAGAAUAGCUGCACUCCCCUGCUAGAACUUCCGAACAAGCUCUCAAGAAUUUAUUUUCAGCUCCAGGACAACCAGAGCUAUACAGAGAAACACUGACACAAAAACAAGAAUGAAUUUUUUUUUUUUAAACUUU
ensembl:misc_RNA predicted gene, 25363